UUACGGUUCGUAUCCUAUUAAUAUAUAAAAUUAGAAAGCGACUGAAAUGUUAUAUUAAUAUACCAUGAGCCGUAAAAGUGCAUGGCGACUUUAUCAAUGAAUUCAUUCAUAAUUUCUCCAUGCAAUUUCGCAGCUCACUGUACAAUAUCGGCACGUCUCUCUAAAGCGCCUGAACCAUGUUUAGCAUUAUAUUUAGUAAUAUUAACCUCACUACAUAUUUUUCCGCGCAUGUUUGAGAAUAAAACUUUUUUUUUAUGAUUUGCUGUAUUUACUUGUUUCUUUAUGUUUUGACCGGAUUGUAUUAUUGACAAAGGUAUGCAAUGCGAUUUUUAUUGUAACUCUAUUCUUAAUUGUUCCAAACAUACUCUUUGCUACACCUAUUUGUAUACUCAUUAACUUACAACUAAAUCAUUGAAAAAGGAAUCGUUUAAUUUCAAUUGCUGUUGAUAUUUGUUGUACAUUGCUUCAGAGAUUACGUUUUAGAUAAGUAUAUUUAUUUGUAAAUGUCAAAAUUGUAAUCUCUGUGGCUGACUGUUAGUUAUGGAAACGUGAGCAUAAAAUACCCACAAGUUUCAUUCAGGCGAGCACAAACUACUUUUUUGCAUACGCCAACCUAACCCCAUACAAAAUGCCAGUUGAAUAAAGCUGACUCCGCCGCCACCGUCGCCAUUUCUGCUCCGAGAUGCUGCUCUUUACUGCGUGAAA